rnacentral:rRNA from 1 species
GUGAACGCUGGCGGUAGGCCUAACACAUGCAAGUCGAACGGCAGCACAGUAAGAGCUUGCUCUUACGGGUGGCGAGUGGCGGACGGGUGAGGAAUACAUCGGAAUCUACUUUUUCGUGGGGGAUAACGUAGGGAAACUUACGCUAAUACCGCAUACGACCUACGGGUGAAAGCGGGGGAUCUUCGGACCUUGCGCGAUUGAAUGAGCCGAUGUCGGAUUAGCUAGUUGGCGGGGUAAAGGCCCACCAAGGCGACGAUCCGUAGCUGGUCUGAGAGGAUGAUCAGCCACACUGGAACUGAGACACGGUCCAGACUCCUACGGGAGGCAGCAGUGGGGAAUAUUGGACAAUGGGCGCAAGCCUGAUCCAGCCAUACCGCGUGGGUGAAGAAGGCCUUCGGGUUGUAAAGCCCUUUUGUUGGGAAAGAAAAGCAGCAGGUUAAUACCCCGCUGUUCUGACGGUACCCAAAGAAUAAGUACCGGCUAACUUCGUG